rnacentral:rRNA from 1 species
AAUAGAUACCCCGGUAGUCCACGCCGUAAACGUUGGGUACUAGGUGUGGCGUCCCGAUCAACGGAUGCCGUGCCGAAGCUAACGCAUUAAGUACCCCGCCUGGGGAGUACGGCCGCAAGGCUAAAACUCAAAGGAAUUGACGGGUCCCCGCACAAGCGGCGGAGCAUGCGGCUUAAUUCGAUGCAACCCGAAGAACCUUACCUGGGCUUGACAUCACGGGAAAAGCCGUAGAAAUACGGUGUCCAUUAGGGCCCGUGACAGGUGGUGCAUGGCUGUCGUCAGCUCGUGUCGUGAGAUGUUGGGUUAAGUCCCGCAACGAGCGCAACCCUUGUCCUAUGUUGCCAGCACGUAAUGGUGGGACUCAUAGGAGACUGCCGGGGACAACUCGGAGGAAGGUGAGGACGACGUCAAGUCAUCAUGCCCCUUAUGUCCAGGGCUGCACGCAUGCUACAAUGGCCAGUACAAUGGGCUGCGAACUCGCGAGAGUGAGCCAAUCCCCAAAGCUGGCCUCAGUUCGGA